GCAGCAGGUCGGUUUGUCGCUGCGACUUUCGUUGUCGCAGAGGAAAGUCCGGGCAACGCAGAGCACCAUACUUCCUAACGGGAAGCUGUCCGUGAGGGCAGACUAGUGUAACAGAAAAGGACCGCCUCUGCUUCGGCAGCGGUAAGGGUGAAAAGGUGGGGUAAGAGCCCACCGGGUACCUUGGUAACAAGGUAUGCCGUACGCGUUAUGGGUUGCAAGGCCAUGUAUACCGGAUAGGUCGGGUUGCUCGCCCGAUGCCGGGGGGUAGGCCGCUAGAGGCAGGUGGUGACACCCGUCCCCAGAUAAAUGACAGACGCCCCGUCUUGUACGGGGUACAGAACCCGGCUUACAGACCGGCUGCUUUU
rnacentral:RNase_P_RNA from 1 species